rnacentral:rRNA from 1 species
AGAGUUUGAUCAUGGCUCAGAUUGAACGCUGGCGGCAGGCCUAACACAUGCAAGUCGAGCGGAAACGACACUAACAAUCCUUCGGGUGCGUUAAUGGGCGUCGAGCGGCGGACGGGUGAGUAAUGCCUAGGAAAUUGCCUUGAUGUGGGGGAUAACCAUUGGAAACGAUGGCUAAUACCGCAUAAUGCCUACGGGCCAAAGAGGGGGACCUUCGGGCCUCUCGCGUCAAGAUAUGCCUAGGUGGGAUUAGCUAGUUGGUGAGGUAAUGGCUCACCAAGGCGACGAUCCCUAGCUGGUCUGAGAGGAUGAUCAGCCACACUGGAACUGAGACACGGUCCAGACUCCUACGGGAGGCAGCAGUGGGGAAUAUUGCACAAUGGGCGAAAGCCUGAUGCAGCCAUGCCGCGUGUAUGAAGAAGGCCUUCGGGUUGUAAAGUACUUUCAGUUGUGAGGAAGGGGGUAACGUUAAUAGCGUUAUCUCUUGACGUUAGCAACAGAAGAAGCACCGGCUAACUCCGUGCCUGCAGCCGCGGUAAUACGGAGGGUGCGAGCGUUAAUCGGAAUUACUGGGCGUAAAGCGCAUGCAGGUGGUUUAUUAAGUCAGAUGUGAAAUCCCGGGGCUCUACCUCUUAUCUGCAUUUGAAACUGUUGAACUACAUCACUGUAGAGGGUGGUAUAAUUUCUGGCGUACCUUUGAACUGUG